AGACGUUGAUAGGCUGGGUGUGUAAGCGUAGCGAUACGUUGAGCUAACCAGUACUAAUGAACCGUGAGGCUUAACCUGACAACACCGAAGGUGUUU
rnacentral:rRNA from 1 species